CUCGUCAGAGACUGCAGCAGAUCAAACAGUGAAACACACACACACACACACGCAUCUCUUAGCACCCUCACAUCUCACCAGUACCACACCACUUCAGCGCAGGAACCCGGUGAUGGGAGAGUGACGGGGAAGAAUAGCGGGGCACAUCCCUCAGCCUCGCCACAAAAAUGAAUCGUCUCGGUCCGGGGAGGGAAGACAGACUCCCUCGUCGUCUCUCUUCCCGAUAACUCCAUUUUGAAGAAGAGCUCUCGCCAACGCUUCUCUGAGCCCCACUGACGAAGAUACUCUCAUCCCUCGAGGCUCGGUGGAGUGGAAUAAGUUUACAGGAAGACAUGCUUAGGCGAUUGGGGAGCUGCGUAUAUUUAAUCCACCUGAAGAGCGAGCUGUGACCUAACCUCAGAGAGCGAUGUCAUGGAUGUCAUACUGAUGGGUGGCUGUCUCUCCCUACGUCACCUCACUCACGUCAUCGUCUGUUAUGAAACAAAGCUGCAUCUAUGAACGCAAUGUCUGAGCCUCUGUUAUGGUGGUGGUGGACAGUGCGUCAUUAAUGGGAAGGACAACUGAGCUGGGGUUACGUGCAGUGUCUUGUCCUCAGAACUGGACACCAUGUAAUCAGUGGCCUUCUUAUGAAACAUUUUAAAGAGUACUUUCAAACUCAAACUUUUCAUUGAAUCUCGUAAAUAAUGGGGCACCACUCGACAUCU